rnacentral:misc_RNA from 1 species
AACGCACGAGACCUGCGGACCUGCGGAGGGAUCAUUAACGAAUAUCUAUGGCGUUGGUUGUAGCUGGCUCUUAGGAGCAUUUUGCGCACGCCCGUCAUUCAUAUCAUCUUUCCACCUGUGAACUAUGUGUAGGCCUGGAUACCCCUCGCUUUGGCAACAAGGCGGAUACAAGGAUUGCUGCGUCGCAAGGCCGGCUCUCUUUGAAUUUCCAGGUUCUAUGUCUUUUACACACCCCAUUUG